rnacentral:rRNA from 1 species
AACAAACGCUGGCGGCGUGCCUAAUACAUGCAAGUCGAACGGGGAAAGCUUUCGGGUGAGUACUAGUGGCGCACGGGUGAGUAAUACGUAGAUAAUCUGCCUUCGAGUUGGGGAUAACUAGUCGAAAGAUUAGCUAAUACCGAAUAAGACCACAAGAACUGAGGUUCUAGGGGUUAAAGGUUUUUCGCUUGAAGAUGAGUCUGCGCGAGAUUAGCUAGUUGGUGUGGUAACGGCUCACCAAGGCAACGAUCUCCAACUGGUCUGAGAGGAUGAUCAGUCACACUGGAACUGAGACACGGUCCAGACUCCUACGGGAGGCAGCAGUAGGGAAUAUUGCACAAUGGGGGAAACCCUGAUGCAGCGACGCCGCGUGAGUGAUGAAGGCCUUCGGGUCGUAAAGCUCUGUCGCAAGGGAAUAAUAAACUGAAUGUACCUUGCAAGAAAGGAUCGGCUAACUUCGUGCCAGCCGCCGCGGUAA